rnacentral:sRNA from 2 species
AUGGACCACUCGUACACCCCGGUUCCGAGCAGUCGUCCGCAUCCGCCUGACGACUGCUCGCUCCCUUUUGGGCC